UAGGGAAUCUUCCACAAUGGACGAAAGUCUGAUGGAGCAACGCCGCGUGAGUGAGGAAGGGUUUCGGCUCGUAAAACUCUGUUGUUAAAGAAGAACAUAUCUGAGAGUAACUGUUCAGGUAUUGACGGUAUUUAACCAGAAAGCCACGGCUAACUACGUACCAG
rnacentral:rRNA from 1 species